AAACACAAUCAAACAGAACACCAAGAUAUACGUGGAAAAUUCCUUCAAUGUGAAGGGUAAAAACCACGGGGCAAACUAGAGAUAAUCCACUAUGAGAAUAAUGAAUAUACAAAUCUCAAUCUCUUGCCCAAAACCCUAACAACAACCACAAGAGAAUAACUGGGAUACAAGGAUCACGUCACUGCCCACAAUAUCUAAAACCUC
rnacentral:lncRNA from 1 species